AAACACUACACUCCAAACCUUACACUCUAACCCUAAACCUUAUACCCCAAAUCAUAAAACCCAAAUACUAAUUUUAACAUUUCAAAUUUAAACAUCAAAACUUAAACAUAAACUACUAAUCUAAAAUUUUCAAAUUCUAAAUUACAAAUCGUUGAAUCAUACUUGUAUAGUUAAAAUAGUUUAAUCUUACCAUUUACAUUUAAUAACUUUAACAUUUACUAUGAACCAUAAUUUUAAAUUUUAAUUCUAAGCUCUAUCUAUCUAAACUGUAAACUCCAUUCACUAAACUAUAAACACUAAUCAUGAAAAUAACUAUUAACCAUUAUAUUUUUAUUUUUAACUAAAUAUAAAAUAUAAAACCAAAACUUUAUAUUCCAAGUCUUGUUAAAUAUGGCGAUGGCUAAAGUUUUUUGGAUUAACAUAUUAAUGUACUGCCUUAUUCAAAACCAGACAAUUUAAUAAUAUAAAUUUCUUUAACUUAUCUUAUCCUCUAACUUUCUUCUCAUUGGUCCAAAUGUUAUGGCAAGGAUCAUCAUCUCAACGAUUGAUAAUUUAAAUCAAUGGCCACACUUCACUAUUGCUUUCAUUUUCUUUUCUUCUCUUUUCGUUUCAGAUCUGAGACAUAUUCAUUAUCCCAAGUCCCAACCAUCUCUCUUUGUGCACAUCUUCUGUUCUUCUUUUCUCUACGCCAUUACAAUGUCUUCAUCUCUUUCUUCUAUUCGUCUCCUCCUCUGCCUCUCUCAUCCGUGAAGUCACCAAGAAUCGUGAGGCCUCAUCUCCUCCUCUAUCUCUAUCCUCCAUGAAGUCACCGUGACGCCUCUUUCCUCCAUGACAUCUCUUUUUCAUGACGCCUCUUUUCUUCCUCUGUCGCUCUCCGUGAAGUCUCCGCCCCGAGAAUCUGGGAAAGCUUAGAGAAGACAGAAAAAAGUGGCGUCGGAAAAGACCGAGGAGAAGACGACAGGAGCUACGCCGGAUAUGGUCGAGGAGCUGGCCGGAGAGAAGAGAAACGAAGAGGAUUGGACGGACAUUAGGUUUAAUUUGGCUUUAGCCUUUUUGGUUUAGUUUCUUAAACCACUUUAAUUUGUAAAUGUAAAUCGAUUUAAUUUGAUUAUCAAUUCUCGUUUAAUA